CCUAACACAUGCAAGUCGAACGGUAACAGGAAGAAGCUUAGCUUCUUUGCUGACGAGUGGCGGACGGGUGAGUAAUGUCUGGGAAACUGCCUGAUGGAGGGGGAUAACUACUGGAAACGGUAGCUAAUACCGCAUAACGUCGCAAGACCAAAGAGGGGGACCUUCGGGCCUCUUGCCAUCGGAUGUGCCCAGAUGGGAUUAGCUAGUAGGUGGGGUAACGGCUCACCUAGGCGACGAUCCCUAGCUGGUCUGAGAGGAUGACCAGCCACACUGGAACUGAGACACGGUCCAGACUCCUACGGGAGGCAGCAGUGGGGAAUAUUGCACAAUGGGCGCAAGCCUGAUGCAGCCAUGCCGCGUGUAUGAAGAAGGCCUUCGGGUUGUA
rnacentral:rRNA from 1 species